CGAGAACUCCAGGAUCGCGCCCUGGGCCAAAGGCAGGCGCCAAACCGCUGAGCCACCCAGGGAUACCCGAGUCUAUAGCCUCUUGACUCAUGUCUUCCCUUUUCUUCCUAGGAUGUGAACCACAUCACAGAAAGGUUAAGACAUUUCUAAGGUCACACAGAGGCUAACUGGGAAGGUGGACAUGAACACUUUUCUCCCGGAUUCAGGGUCAGGAGUCUGCUCUUUUUUUUUCUCGGGAUCUCCAGGGAGAAGGAUUCAAGCUCUUCAAUGGGGUGAAUAGGAAGUCAGUCAUUUUGGAAGAACAAAGAGUCAAAAGUGUAAGGUUCAUUUUUUGUCAUGCUUAGGAGUGAGAACUUGAGCUGAAGAAACCAAAACUUUUCUCAAGGAAUGAAAGAAAGUGUUCUGAGUUUCUAAUCUGAAAGGGAUAAUACAAGCGCUUAGAGGUGAAGAGCCCUGGAGCAAGUGGGUGACUGUGAGUGUUGUUUUUUUUUAUUUUAUUUAUUUAUUUUUUAUUUUUUAUUUGAGAGCUGACACAUGUAGCACUACUGAGGGAAGGAGAAAUCAGUAUAAUUAAGCUAAACUGUUCUAAUCACCUUUCAGAAUUUUUCAUUCUUAGUAGUCUCCUGUUCCCACACUUGUGUUUUCUCUUCCAACACAUACAUACAUAUUUUGCUUCUGCAGUGUUACACCUCUCCCCAGGAACAGAAUAUAAUUAUUCCCAGUUCCCACUCCAAUUAUUCCUAAUAUCCCUUUUACAGUGUCACAAAUAAAGCUAUGUCACAUGUCUCACCCAGCCCUAAUUUUUCUGCAGCUCAUAUGACUCCAGAUAAUGCCAAAAAUAACAACAUAUGCUAUUUCUACAGAUCAAAGACAAAUGAGAUAUGUGUUUCAUUGGAAACUAGAUAAUGCAUAUAAUAGCAGUUAUGGUGUCCUUGGCUCCCUGGUCAUUGGAUUGGGGAAACAUUACUGGGAGGUAGAUCCUGGAGGUAUAAGAUGGAAAAUGCCCAGAAUACAUUAUGAAAUUUCAUGUUAGACAUGAUUAAAAUUAUCAACAUAGUUACUCUAGGUUUCAACCAAAUAUGACCACUGCAUUAAACGGUGAUGAAUCAACUUUAUAAUGCUUUUGAGGAGUCAUCCUUCUCUGAUCUCCUCAUCUUAAUCCUGACCCUGCCUGUCAUUCUCCAUAGGUUUUCCUAGACUAUGAGGCUGGCAUUGUCUUAUUUUUCAAUGUCACAAACUAUGGGUUUCUCAUCUAUACGUUCUUUUCAUUUUCCUCUUCUCAGGAAGCUUUUCCAUAUUUCAGCCCCAUGAAAUGGAAUGACCCCAUCAUGACUCUGCUCUCCAAGCUCUUGAACCUUCUUACAUCCCUACUCAUUUCUUUGUAGUGCCUCUUGCCUUGGGUGCAGCUGAUGCACUGAGCUUAUCUGCACCAUUCUCACCAUCUUUUCUUUGCUGCCUUCCUUCUCUCCAUUUGAACACCCUUCGUUCAGGAGAAUAUAUCAAAAAUAGUAAUUAAGAGUUUUGUGUCUAGAGUGUCUGGACAAUGUAAAGUAACCUUGAAUAAUGUACAUAAAUGCUGUGUUUAUUUUCUUAAAAUCAUCUUGAUGUAAAAACUGCACCAUACUUAGGAUUAUUGUGAGAAAAUAAAUUCAUUAAAUAUUAA